UGGGGAAUUUUGGGACAAUGGGGGAAACCCCUGAUCCAGCCAUCCCGCGUGUGCGAUGAAGGCCUUCGGGUUGUAAAGCACUUUUGGCAGGAAAGAAACGUCGCGGGUUAAUACCCCGCGAAACUGACGGUACCUGCAGAAUAAGCACCGGCUAACUACGUGCCAGCAGCCGCGGUAAUACGUAGGGUGCAAGCGUUAAUCGGAAUUACUGGGCGUAAAGCGUGCGCAGGCGGUUCGGAAACGAAAGAUGUGAAAUCCCAGAGCUUAACUUUGGAACUGCAUUUUUGAACUACCGGGCUAGAGUGUGUCAGAGGGAGGUGGAAUUCCGCGUGUAGCAGUGAAAUGCGUAGAUAUGCGGAGGAACACCGAUGGCGAAGGCAGCCUCCUGGGAUAACACUGACGCUCAUGCACGAAAGGCGUGGGGAGCAAAGC
rnacentral:rRNA from 1 species